rnacentral:lncRNA from 1 species
GUAAAAUACUUGUGAAUGUAAUUUUGGUUUAUGGAUCACUCCACAGGUGUUUUAUUCACAGAAAAAGAAAGGAGACAGAAGAAAUACCCUGGCAGGACAAGGUGACAGAGCUGUGACCUGCAGUACAGAAUUUCUUCAAGUUCUUCUUUAGUCAGUUCAGCUGCCAGUGCUGAAACACUUGCCCAUCUCCAGAGCUCCAGCCCAGCCUCAACCUACACUCCCAGGGCUUCUUCUCUUUCCCAUAAAGAAAGCAGGAGUUUCCUCAGAAUGAGAAAUCUCUGUGCUGAAGACUUCAGAUAAAUCCAAAAGGCAGGGCAUAGAUUGGCCUCUUGAGGCAACAAAGCGAAGUUUGGGAUAUGUCCUGACAAUGUGCUUAGGAAUGACACUUGAUGAAAUGCCCAGGUGAAAUUUUAAAAAAAACCUUAUGGGUCACUUUUUUGGCAGUUGCAUCACUAACUGGUUAAUGCAGAAAGAUAAAAUUAAAUAAUUUUUAGAGACAGAGGACACAGAAAUUGUUUAGCUGCUUGAUGGGAUGUGCUGAAAUGUGUUUAACCACUUGGAGAAUUCAGGAUUUGGGAUCUAUUGUCAUCAACUGGGAUCUGCAGCUGCAUUCUUCCCUCUUUGACAAACCACAGUCACAUUGUGCUUUAUUCUCAUUCAGGACUCUUUCAGGCAAAAGAGGCACAGAGACAUUCCACUCUUCCAUGUGUUGUAGCCCUCAGACCUCCAGGUUUACAGUCCUGCUGUGGAAUGCAGCAGAAGUGGCCAACAAACACCCCAGGAGUGAGAAAGAUCUGAGGAUUUUCAAAAGACUUUUUGAGGCCAUGAAGAAAAAGACUAACACUUGCAGAGAUCUGGCUGGCUUCCAGCAUGACAGAAGUCGGACAUGGGGUAUUCUGCUCCAUGUUUCCUUUAAAAUGAGGGAUCUUCUGGAAUGGGACCAGUGGGGGACACAAGAAAAAGAGAAUGUCAGUGGGUAAGAACUAGUGUAUCAUUUUGGUGAUUGUAGAACACAGAAAAAUGAGUGAAUGCUGGUGAUGAUGGACUUUUUUUUUUAAAAAAAGGCAUUUGGUAAACUGCCUGGGAAUCACACUGCAAGCUGUUUCUGGUCACCUAGGCAGGAAAAUCAAGCCCUAAGGUUUGCCAGGUUAUUUAUUCUGCAUCUCUCUGCUUGAAUGGGAGUAAACUCAGAGAGAGAGAGAGAGCUAAGAAGCAAAGCAGAGAGCAACCAGGUGGCUGCAGGAUGUGCCAAUCCCUGUGCAGAAGUGAAUGUGUUUUAAUUCCUGCCUCACAGUUACAUUUUUGUUGUGCCAUACCCGAGAGAAAGCUCCUAGAGCACGAAUAGAGUGGGGACAUCACUGAUACGAGCUCCACAUUUG